GUUCUUCCUUCAGCAGCACAUAGACUAAAAUUGGAACAAUACAGAGAAGACUAGUGUGGCCCCUGAACAAGGAUGACAUGCAAAUUCGUGAAGUAGUCCAUAUUUUU